AACGAACGCUGGCGGCAGGCCUAACACAUGCAAGUCGAGCGAGCAUUUCGGUGCUAGCGGCGGACGGGUGAGUAACGCGUGGGAACGUGCCCUUUUCUGCGGAAUAGUCCUGGGAAACUGGGGGUAAUACCGCAUACGCCCUUUUAGGGAAAGAUUUAUCGGAGAAGGAUCGGCCCGCGUUGGAUUAGGUAGUUGGUGGGGUAAUGGCCCACCAAGCCGACGAUCCAUAGCUGGUUUGAGAGGAUGAUCAGCCACACUGGGACUGAGACACGGCCCAGACUCCUACGGGAGGCAGCAGUGGGGAAUCUUAGACAAUGGGGGCAACCCUGAUCUAGCCAUGCCGCGUGAGUGAUGAAGGCCUUAGGGUUGUAAAGCUCUUUCAGCUGGGAAGAUAAUGACGGUACCAGCAGAAGAAGCCCCGGCUAACUCCGUG
rnacentral:rRNA from 1 species